GGGAGGGAUAAGAGGAGGAGAGUGGGGGAAGGGUUGAUUGUUAGAGCAAGUAGGCUGCUGAGGAGAGGACUUCAGAAGCAGUGCACUCUGCAAGAAAAUAUGCUGUCUGGUUGAAAUCUAUUGGAUUUUCAGAUGAUAACGUUAGGAUACACGUUUAGCGAACUUUAUGACCACAUUCACUGUUGUUCCUUGUAGAUCUUGGACGUGAGAUUGCUAGGUCCGAACUCGCUAGACAUGAGAUGAGUUAGCGGUAUACUGGCCGUUAGCUAGUUUAAGAAGUAAAUAUUAUUUCAUAGAAAGGGUUGGCAAUAUCGAGGAAAAUCCUCGUCCAGACAUUGGCAAGAAAAUUCCACUUAACGACCUAUCGGGUCUGAUGCACCUUGUACUGACCUCGCCUUCUGGAUGGAAGCGGAGUGAACAGGUAGUGGCUCGGGUGGUUAGUGUCCUUGAUGAUCUUUUUUGCCUUCCUGUGACAUCGGGUGUUGUAGGAGUCCUGGAGGGCAGGUAGUUUGCCCCCGGUGAAGCGUUGUGCAGACUGCACUACCCUCUGGAGAGCUCUGCGGUUGUGGGCGGUGCAGUUUCCGUACCAGGCGGUGAUACAGCCCGACAGGAUGCUCUCAAUUAUACACCUGUAAAAGUUAGUGAUGGUUUUCGGUGACAAGCCACAUUUCUUCAGCCUCCUGGGGUUGAAGAGGCGCUGUUGCGCCUUCUUCACCCCACUGUCUGUGUGCGUGGACCAAUUUCAGUUUGUGGGUGAUAUGUACACCGAGGAACUUUCCACCUUCUCCACUGCUGUCCCGUCGAUGUGGAUAGGGGGGUGCUCCCUUUGCUGUUUCCUGAAGUCCACAAUCAUCUCUUUUGUCUUGCUGACAUUGAGUGAGCUUAUUUUCCUGACACCACACUCCGAGGGCCCUCAGGGAAAAAAAGACCAGUUUAUCUUAUAUAAGGCUGAACGGACUGAAUGUAAUGGUCAUUCUGCAUUUGAGUACUGUAAUUAUAAUACUGUACAUUAGGUCCAAUUUAUUAUUUACCUUUACACAUGAUAUUUCUUGGUCUUAGACUGAAUGGACUGAAGGACUGAAUGGAGCCUAAUGCUCUUUGUGUUUUCAGUAAUAGAUAG
ensembl:lncRNA